UGGGGAAUAUUGCGCAAUGGGGGGAACCCUGACGCAGCCAUGCCGCGUGAAUGAAGAAGGCCUUCGGGUUGUAAAGUUCUUUCGGUAUUGAGGAAGGUUAAUGUGUUAAUAGCACAUCAAAUUGACGUUAAAUACAGAAGAAGCACCGGCUAACUCCGUGCCAGCAGCCGCGGUAAUACGGAGGGUGCGAGCGUUAAUCGGAAUAACUGGGCGUAAAGGGCACGCAGGCGGUUAUUUAAGUGAGGUGUGAAAGCCCCGGGCUUAACCUGGGAAUUGCAUUUCAGACUGGGUAACUAGAGUACUUUAGGGAGGGGUAGAAUUCCACGUGUAGCGGUGAAAUGCGUAGAGAUGUGGAGGAAUACCGAAGGCGAAGGCAGCCCCUUGGGAAUGUACUGACGCUCAUGUGCGAAAGCGUGGGGAGCAAACAGGAUUAGAUACCCUGGUAGUCCACGCUGUAAACGCUGUCGAUUUGGGGGUUGGGGUUUAACUCUGGCGCCCGUAGCUAACGUGAUAAAUCGACCGCCUGGGGAGUACGGCCGCAAGGUUA
rnacentral:rRNA from 1 species